rnacentral:rRNA from 1 species
AGAAUCAACGCUGGCGGCGUGCCUAACACAUGCAAGUCGAACGAGAAAGUGGUAGCAAUACCAUGAGUAAAGUGGCGCACGGGUGAGUAACACGUGACUAACCUACCCUGGAGUGGGGGAUAACUGAGGGAAACCUUAGCUAAUACCGCAUAAUACCCACGGGUCAAAGGAGCAAUUCGCUCUGGGAGGGGGUCGCGGCCGAUUAGUUAGUUGGCGGGGUAAUGGCCCACCAAGACGAUGAUCGGUA